rnacentral:rRNA from 1 species
CAUACGGGUGGCAGCAGUGGGGAAUAUUGGACAAUGGGCGAAAGCCUGAUCCAGCCAUGCCGCGUGUGUGAAGAAGGCCUUCGGGUUGUAAAGCACUUUCAGUGGGGAAGAAAGCCUUGGGGCUAAUACCCUCGAGGAAGGACAUCACCCACAGAAGAAGCACCGGCUAACUCCGUGCCAGCAGCCGCGGUAAUACGGAGGGUGCGAGCGUUAAUCGGAAUUACUGGGCGUAAAGCGCGCGUAGGCGGUCUGAUAAGCCGGUUGUGAAAGCCCCGGGCGCAACCUGGGAACGGCAUCCGGAACUGUCAGGCUAGAGUGCAGGAGAGGAAGGUAGAAUUCCCGGUGUAGCGGUGAAAUGCGUAGAGAUCGGGAGGAAUACCAGUGGCGAAGGCGGCCUUCUGGACUGACACUGACGCUGAGGUGCGAAAGCGUGGGUAGCAAACAGGAUUAGAUACCCCAGUAGUC